UUGCCAUGACAAUGGGGUUCUGAGCCUGACUCACUGUGAAGCAGGCAGCAGGUCCUUGUGGUACCUCUCUGGACUUGGCUGCAGGCAGAGGUAUGGGGUGGAUGUGAGUCUCUCCUGCCAGUUGACUUGUGCUAGGGCCCUCGAGAAGAGAUGAUUCAGAAAUGUCCAAGAGACACUCAUCUGCUGCGUGUCAGGGAAGAGGUGAUUCCAGUGGCUCCUCUUGCAAGGGCAGGGGGCACUGGGGAUGAUCUUACGGAACCAAGUGGCGGAGGCUCAAAAAGAGUUUUGGAACCACUGCAUUCGAACAAAUAAUCACAGAGAAAGCAGGCGGCUGCAUUCUGUGCCAGAGGAGAAGUGAUUGGCUGGGAAGACACACCUGUACUCUUAAUGCUAUUCCAGUGGCUUCUUCCAUGGCAUAAAAAAGAGGCAAGUUUCUUUUUAUUAUUACUGCAAGCAAUUUUAAUACAAAAAGUGUCUUCUUUUUUUAAACAAUUCAUUGGUAGAGCUUCAGGUUCUGGCUCAAUUAAACCAACUGAGAGAAUCACACAGCAAUAUGGUCAGUCAGAGCAGGGGAAAGAGCAAAAGUUAAUAAAUACAGGAAGACCAAGUAGCCCCCAACUCCCUGCCCCUCCCCCUUCUUUACUGUCCCAAAGUUGGCUUUACUUUUUAAAACAUUCCUCCCCUUCUUCUCCCCUCCACAAUGGAAAAAAUGAUCAUAUAAAAGCGAGCUGGGGGGCGGAGGGGGCGGCGCACAAGUGGGGCUGCUGGUGAUGCGCUUUAAAAUUCCCAAGAACAAGCUCCUGUGCGUGUUGAAGGCAGCUCUGUCGUCUUCUUCUCCCCUGGAGUGUGGAGGGGCCUCUUGGACGUCAGUAUGGUCAGAAGUGGCAUUAACCAGUUGAGACAAUAAAUAGGAAACAAUGCAGUUAAAUAGCAGUUCGUGAACUAAAAAGUGAAGUCAGUUUUUUUGUUUUAACAGCAAUGUGAGAGAAGAACCAAGUUUUGUGGGAACUUCCCUCUUUGGCUCCACCGCUCAAAGGUUUUGCUGUGUGUGCCCCAACCCCAGGCAUCGUCCACACAGGUAUGAUGCUACUGGAGAGCUUCAAGUGUAAAAUAUUGAAAACAUAGUAUUAGUUGUUCUUUAAAAGCUCAGCGGCUGACAGUACUUUCAUUUCGCUAAAUACAGCAUUUUAGUGAACAUCUUUACUUGUAUGUAGCAUGUGUGCAAUUUUUUU